CAUAUUUAACUUGUAUACUUUAAUGAGUUUAAACAUCUGCAAACACCCCCGAUACUGUCACCACACUCACUUGGAUAUGAUUCACAUAAACAUAUCCAAGACCCCCCGAAAUUUAUUUUAAACCCCUUAUGUGUGUAUGUAUGUGGUGAGAAGACUGAAUUUGAGACCCAGCCUCAACAAAUUUUGACAUGCACAAUAUUAU
rnacentral:lncRNA from 1 species